UGGGGGAUAUUGCACAAUGGGCGAAAGCCUGAUGCAGCGACGCCGCGUGGGGGAUGAAGGCUUUCGGGUUGUAAACCUCUUUCGCUAUCGAACAAGGCCCGCUUAGGGUGGGUUGAGGGUAGGUGGAGAAGAAGCGCCGGCUAACUACGUGCCAGCAGCCGCGGUAAUACGUAGGGCGCGAGCGUUGUCCGGAAUUGUUGGGCGUAAAGGGCUUGUAGGCGGCUUGUUGCGCCUGCUGUGAAAACGCGGGGCUUAACUUCGCGCGUGCAGUGGGUACGGGCAGGCUUGAGUGUGGUAGGGGUGACUGGAAUUCCAGGUGUAGCGGUGGAAUGCGCAGAUAUCUGGGGGAACACCGAUGGCGAAGGCAGGUCACUGGGCCAUUACUGACGCUGAGGAGCGAAAGCAUGGGUAGCGAACAGG
rnacentral:rRNA from 1 species